rnacentral:rRNA from 1 species
AUUGAACGCUGGCGGCAGGCUUAACACAUGCAAGUCGGGCGGGGGAAGGUAGCUUGCUACCGGACCUAGCGGCGGACGGGUGAGUAAUGCUUAGGAAUCUGCCUAUUAGUGGGGGACAACAUCUCGAAAGGGAUGCUAAUACCGCAUACGUCCUACGGGAGAAAGCAGGGGAUCUUCGGACCUUGCGCUAAUAGAUGAGCCUAAGUCAGAUUAGCUAGUUGGUGGGGUAAAGGCCUACCAAGGCGACGAUCUGUAGCGGGUCUGAGAGGAUGAUCCGCCACACUGGGACUGAGACACGGCCCAGACUCCUACGGGAGGCAGCAGUGGGGAAUAUUGGACAAUGGGGGGAACCCUGAUCCAGCCAUGCCGCGUGUGUGAAGAAGGCCUUAUGGUUGUAAAGCACUCUAAGCGAGGAGGAGGCUACUUUAGUUAAUACCUAGAGAUAGUGGACGUUACUCGCAGAAUAAGCACCGGCUAACUCUGUGCCAGCCGCCGCAGUAA